AUCUGAGUAACUCAGCUGGUAGAGCAUGAGACCCUUAAUCUUAAGGUCAUGGGUUUGAGCCCCACGUUGGGCA